rnacentral:rRNA from 1 species
CAGUAGCCGCGGUAAUACGGAGGGUGCAAGCGUUAAUCAGAAUUACUGGGCGUAAAGCGUGCGUAGGCGGUUCGUUAAGUCUGUUGUGAAAGCCCCGGGCUCAACCUGGGAAUGGCAAUGGAUACUGGCGAGCUAGAGUGUGUCAGAGGAUGGUGGAAUUCCCGGUGUAGCGGUGAAAUGCGUAGAGAUCGGGAGGAACAUCAGUGGCGAAGGCGGUCAUCUGGGACAACACUGACGCUGAGGCACGAAAGCGUGGGGAGCAAACAGGAUUAGAUACCCGAGUAGUCCCUGUCUCUUAUAC